UACGUAGGGUGCAAGCGUUAAUCGGAAUUACUGGGCGUAAAGCGUGCGCAGGCGGUUCGCUAAGACAGAUGUGAAAUCCCCGGGCUUAACCUGGGAACUGCAUUUGUGACUGGCGGGCUAGAGUAUGGCAGAGGGGGGUAGAAUUCCACGUGUAGCAGUGAAAUGCGUAGAGAUGUGGAGGAAUACCGAUGGCGAAGGCAGCCCCCUGGGCCAAUACUGACGCUCAUGCACGAAAGCUAGGGGAGCAAACAGG
rnacentral:rRNA from 1 species